AAACGGCAUUGAGUGCUUGCACUCUUUGGACGUCGACCGGCGCACGGGUGAGUAACGCGUACCCAACCUUCCCAUUACUGUGGGAUAACCUGCCGAAAGGCAGACUAAUACCGCAUAGUCUUCGAUGACGGCAUCAGAUUUGAAGUAAAGAUUUAUCGGUAAUGGAUGGGGAUGCGUCUGAUUAGCUUGUUGGCGGGGUAACGGCCCACCAAGGCGACGAUCAGUAGGGGUUCUGAGAGGAGGGUCCCCCACAUUGGAACUGAGACACGGUCCAAACUCCUACGGGAGGCAGCAGUGAGGAAUAUUGGUCAAUGGACGGAAGUCUGAACCAGCCAAGUAGCGUGCAGGAUGACGGCCCUAUGGGUUGUAAACUGCUUUUGUAUGGGGAUAAAGUUAGGGACGUGUCCCUAUUUGCAGGUACCAUACGAAUAAGGACCGGCUAAUUCCGUGCCAGCAGCCGCGGUAAUACGGAAGGUCCAGGCGUUAUCCGGAUUUAUUGGGUUUAAAGGGAGCGUAGGCUGGAGAUUAAGUGUGUUGUGAAAUGUAGACGCUCAACGUCUGACUUGCAGCGCAUACUGGUUUCCUUGAGUACGCACAACGUUGGCGGAAUUCGUCGUGUAGCGGUGAAAUGCUUAGAUAUGACGAAGAACUCCGAUUGCGAAGGCAGCUGACGGGAGCGCAACUGACGCUUAAGCUCGAAGGUGCGGGUAUCAGACAGGAUUAGAUANCCUGGUAGUCCGCACAGUAAACGAUGGAUGCCCGCUGUUGGUACCUGGUAUCAGCGGCUAAGCGAAAG
rnacentral:rRNA from 1 species